rnacentral:rRNA from 1 species
CGGAGUGGCAGACGGGUGAGUAACACGUGGGAACAUACCCUUCGGUUCGGGAUAACUCAGGGAAACUUGAGCUAAUACCGGAUACGUCCGCGAGGAGAAAGAUUCAUCGCCGGAGGAUUGGCCCGCGUCUGAUUAGCUUGUUGGUGAGGUAAUGGCUCACCAAGGCGACGAUCAGUAGCUGGUCUGAGAGGAUGAUCAGCCACAUUGGGACUGAGACACGGCCCAA